CCUACGGGUGGCAGCAGUAGGGAAUAUUGCUCAAUGGGGGAAACCCUGAAGCAGCAACGCCGCGUGGAGGAUGAAGGUUUUCGGAUUGUAAACUCCUUUUGUUAGAGAAGCUAAUGACGGUAUCUAACGAAUAAGCACCGGCUAACUCCGUGCCAGCAGCCGCGGUAAUACGGAGGAUGCGAGCGUUAUCCGGAUUUAUUGGGUUAAAAGGGUGCGUAGGCGGUCCGUUAAGUCAGCGGUAAAAUUGCGGGGCUCAACCCCGUCGAGCCGUUGAAACUGGCAGACUUGAGUUGGCGAGAAGUACGCGGAAUGCGCGGUGUAGCGGUGAAAUGCAUAGAUAUCGCGCAGAACUCCGAUUGCGAAGGCAGCGUACCGGCGCCAGACUGACGCUGAGGCACGAAAGCGUGGGGAUCGAACAGGAUUAGAUACCCCAGUAGUC
rnacentral:rRNA from 1 species